GGGUCCAAUUAUCAAUAAUUUACAGGAACUUUGAGAGACAAGUCAGGGGCAUCUUGCAAGCCUUACAUGAAUGUUUUCUGACAAUGAUUGGCCGGCUGAACGACGCUCAACAGGACCAAUGGAACAGAUGGACAAGAAGGGAUAAAUGAAGAUAGCUCAGGAUCAGAUGGACGAUGCAUCGUGUCUGAACUGUAGCUGCUCGUUGCUCUGAUGGAAACUCAACCACCACCCUUCAAUUUGUGUCCGCAGUAUGUCAGAAUUCAAAUUGACGAACAUUCCACAAGCUUUAGAUGAGUGAGGAAGGAUGGAAGGUAUAUUCCCUGUUCAGAUUACUACUGGGGAAUGAGCCAUGAGUUAGUUACGCAAGGAAUAUAUUUUGAUCCACAUGAAGGUUCCAUACAAUCUAUUGAGAAG